AGCGGCGAUGCUACGAACUACGAAGACAGCACUGAGAAAAUCUAUUUAUCUUCCGCAAGAGAGGAAGUGGCGAAUAUGUCCUCUUCCCUCUUCUCCCUAUAAAUAUUCCCACCAAGCCCUUCGCAUCCUGUUAAUAAAACUCAACUCUCUCAUCUUUCUCCUAUUCUCCUCUUCUUCUGCUGUUUUCCACAGUAGUAGGGGUAGGGUUUCUUCCACAGAGUUUGUAAGGUUUUAAAGAGGGAAACGAAGUGUCGGGGUGGUGGCGGCGGAGAUGGAUUCAUACGCUAUCCAUCUGGCCGUGGCGGCUCUGGUCGGGGCUUCUUUUGUGGCAGUAUCAGCCUAUUAUAUGCACCGCAAAACCCUAGCACAGUUGCUUGAAUUUGCGAAGACGGUAGAGAGGGAACGGGAGCGGGAGGAGAACUCGGACGGGGUUGGCCUGGGAGACUCGCCGCAGCAUUUCAGGAAGUACGGCGAGAAGCGAAGGAGCCACAGCAGCGGUCGGAGGAAGGGGAGCGGCUACAACAAGAGAGGCUCGUCGUCCUUGCCGGACGUUACCGCAAUUUCCGGCGUCGGUGAUGGAGAGGACAGGCGUAACGGGGAGUUUUCCGUAGACGGCAUUCCGGUUGGCUUGCCACGGCUGCACACGCUUCCAGAAGGGAAAUCUGGGGCCCUUGCAAAUUCAACCAAGAGAGCUGGGCAUAUUAUCAGACCGACUUCUCCCAAGUCUCCUGUUGCCAGUGCUAGUGCCUUUGAGAGUGUGGAAGGAUCAGAUGAUGAAGAUAAUUUGCCAGACAAUUCUAAACUGGACACUACAUAUCUGCAUGCUAAUGGAACCACUGACCCAGACAGUAAAAGCUUGUUCCCAAAUUUACCUGAUCAUGUCACUGCAAAUGGAGAACAACUGCCAAUAGCUGCUUCGAGUAUGAUUCGUUCGCAUAGUGUAUCUGGUGACCUGCAUGGUGUUCAGCCUGAUCCUGUAGCAGCUGAUAUUCUAAGGAAAGAGCCAGAGCAUGAAACUUUUGUACGACUUAAAAUUUCCCCAACUGAGGUACCAUCGCCUGAUGAAGAGGAGGUCUAUAUGAUUCUAAAAGAUUGCCUUGAAAUGCGAGAGAGUUAUUUAUUCAGGGAAGAGACUGCUCCAUGGGAGAGAGAAGUUAUAUCUGACCCAAGUACACCCAAGCCUGAUCCAAAUCCAUUUUCUUAUACUCUUGAGGGAAAAAGUGAUCAUUAUUUUCAGAUGGAAGAUGGAGUUGUUAACGUGUACGCAAAUAAAGAUUCAAAAGACAAGCUUUUCCCAGUUGCUGAUGCAACAACCUUUUUUACUGAUCUGCAUCACAUACUUAGAGUAAUAGCAGCUGGGAAUAUUCGAACCUUAUGUCACCAUCGGUUGGUUCUUCUCGAACAGAAAUUCAACCUUCAUGUGAUGCUUAAUGCGGAUAGAGAAUUCCUUGCACAGAAAAGUGCACCACAUCGUGACUUUUAUAAUGUCAGGAAGGUCGAUACACACGUUCAUCACUCAGCAUGCAUGAAUCAGAAACAUCUUUUGAGGUUUAUCAAGUCAAAACUGAGGAAAGAGCCUGAUGAGGUUGUUAUAUUUCGGGAUGGGACAUAUCUAACCUUAAAAGAAGUUUUUGAGAGCUUGGAUUUAACUGGGUAUGACCUGAAUGUUGACCUUUUAGAUGUUCAUGCAGACAAGAGCACAUUUCAUCGUUUUGAUAAGUUCAAUCUCAAGUACAAUCCCUGCGGUCAAAGUAGGCUCAGGGAAAUUUUCCUUAAGCAGGAUAAUCUUAUCCAAGGCCGUUUCCUUGGUGAGCUGACAAAGCAAGUAUUUUCCGAUCUCGCUGCAAGUAAAUAUCAGAUGGCUGAAUACAGGAUAUCAAUAUAUGGCAGAAAGCAAAGUGAGUGGGACCAACUUGCCAGUUGGAUAGUGAAUAAUGAUUUGUACAGUGAGAAUGUUGUUUGGUUGAUUCAGCUUCCCCGGCUGUAUAAUGUGUACAAGGAUAUGGGAAUUGUUACAUCAUUUCAGAACAUGCUGGACAAUAUCUUUCUUCCCCUGUUUGAGGUUACUGUGAAUCCAGAUUCACACCCUCAGUUGCACGUUUUCUUGAAACAGGUUGUUGGCCUGGACUUAGUGGAUGAUGAAAGCAAACCAGAAAGACGUCCUACAAAACAUAUGCCUACUCCAGCUCAGUGGACCAAUGCUUUCAAUCCUGCAUUUUCAUACUAUGUCUACUACUGUUAUGCUAACCUCUAUACAUUGAACAAGCUACGAGAGUCAAAGGGCAUGACUACUAUCAAAUUCCGUCCACAUUCUGGGGAGGCUGGUGACACUGACCACCUUGCUGCAACCUUUCUUACGUCUCACAAUAUUGCACAUGGAAUUAAUUUGAGAAAAUCUCCUGUACUUCAGUAUCUGUAUUACUUAGCACAGAUUGGUCUGGCUAUGUCUCCUCUGAGCAACAAUUCCUUGUUUUUGGACUAUCAUCGGAAUCCUUUUCCUAUGUUUUUCCUUCGGGGCCUCAAUGUUUCCCUCUCUACAGAUGAUCCACUACAAAUCCACCUAACAAAAGAACCCUUGGUGGAAGAAUACAGCAUAGCUGCUUCUGUAUGGAGGCUGAGUUCAUGCGAUUUAUGUGAAAUUGCCCGUAAUUCAGUCUACCAAUCAGGUUUCUCACAUGCUCUGAAGUCACACUGGAUUGGCCAAGAAUAUUACAAGAGGGGACCAGAUGGAAAUGAUAUUCGCAAGACAAAUGUGCCUCAUAUCCGGGUGGAAUUCCGUGAAACGAUCUGGAGAGAGGAAAUGCAGCAGGUUUAUCUGGGCAAAUUCAAACUCCCUGAAGAGAUUGAAAAAUAAUUUGCUGGCUGCAUGCUCACACUCUUGGACAUUAGUAUGUCUUCAAGAUGUAGGAUGUGGAAGAACUUGCGUUUUUCACCUGUUCUUAUCCAGCAGGGAAGAGACCAUUUUGGCUUGGGCAAGCAAGCUGAGAGUGACUUGGCAUGAACGAUGAGAUGAGAGAAAUCAAACAAGGACAUCAAUAUACCACGUGAAUGAAUUCACAAGACAGAGAGAUCCCUGAAAUCUGAGUGAGAGAGGUGAAUAGUUAAAAUACAGCCCAUAGCUAAACCAGGUCAUCCUGUUGUCUGAGCAAGUAACUCAAUAAGAAUUUUGCUUUUGUUUUAGGAUUGAGUAAAAUAAUUUGAUAUAUUUUAAAGCUUUAAUUUUGUGGUGCGGAGGUGGGUCCUGUGUAACAUGCAAUCAAUACAUGUUAUGAUAUAACCUGAGAAGCAGUAGUAAUCUCUAUUGCUUCUUCAAGUUUUGACCUUUUAUAAUUAUAAUAUGAUGCAUUAUAGUAGUAUGUGGCUAUUUCUUAGAUGGGACAUUGCAGGAUUGUAAUCCUCUCGCUGUAAUAAUAAAUAAUAAUUAUCAUAAUAAAAAAAAGGGGAGUAUAUGUUAUUUUA